rnacentral:rRNA from 1 species
CAGUAGCCGCGGUAAUACGAAGGGUGCAAGCGUUACUCGGAAUUACUGGGCGUAAAGCGUGCGUAGGUGGUGGUUUAAGUCCGUUGUGAAAGCCCUGGGCUCAACCUGGGAAUUGCAGUGGAUACUGGAUCACUAGAGUGUGGUAGAGGAUAGUGGAAUUUCCGGUGUAGCAGUGAAAUGCGUAGAGAUUGGAAGGAACAUCUGUGGCGAAGGCGACUAUCUGGGCCAACACUGACACUGAGGCACGAAAGCGUGGGGAGCAAACAGGAUUAGAUACCCCCGUAGUCCCUGUCUCUUAUAC